rnacentral:rRNA from 1 species
CACGUAGGGUGCGAGCGUUGUCCGGAGUUAUUGGGCGUAAAGAGCUCGUAGGCGGCUUGUCGCGUCGUCCGUGAAAAACCAGGGGGCUCAACUCCUGGCUUGCGGUCGAUACGGGCAGGCUAGAGUUCGGUAGGGGAGACUGGAAUUCCUGGUGUAGCGGUGAAAUGCGCAGAUAUCAGGAGGAACACCGGUGGCGAAGGCGGGUCUCUGGGCCGAUACUGACGCUGAGGAGCGAAAGCGUGGGGAGCGAACAGG